rnacentral:rRNA from 1 species
AGAGUUUGAUCCUGGCUCAGAUUGAACGCUGGCGGCAUGGCUAAAACAUGCAAGUCGAACGAGAAUCCAGUAGCAAUAUUGGUAGUAAAGUGGCGAACGGGCGAGUAAUGCAUUUCUAACGUACCCCAAGGUCAGGGAUAGCUCGGUGGAAACCGUGGUAAUACCUGAUAACCUCCGCGAACCGCAUGGUUUGCGGUGCAAUGGCUUGCUGCCUUGGGAUCGGGAAAUGUCCUAUCAGGUAGUUGGUGAGGUAACGGCCCACCAAGCCUAAGACGGGUAGCGGGUGUGAGAGCACGACCCGCCGCAUCGGGACUGAGACACUGCCCGGACUCCUACGGGAGGCUGCAGUAACGAAUCUUCCGCAAUGGGCGCAAGCCUGACGGAGCAAUGCCGCGUGCAGGAGAAGCCCCUCGGGGUGUAAACUGCUGUCAGGGAUUAGCAACACAAAUGAGCAAUCCCAGAGGAAGGGCCGGCUAACUCUGUGCCAGCAGCCGCGGUAAGACAGAGGGCCCGAGCGUUAAUCGGAAUCACUGGGCUUAAAGGGUGCGUAGGCGGGACCGUAAGUGUUCUGUGAAAUCCCACAGCUCAACUGUGGAACGGCAGGGCAUACUGCGGUUCUAGAGGCCAGUAGAGGUUGCCGGAACUCUAGGUGUAGCGGUGAAAUGCGUAGAUAUCUAGAGAACGCCAAUGGUGAAGACAGGCAACUGGGCUGGUUCUGACGCUGAGGCACGAAAGCGUGGGGAGCAAACAGGAUUAGAUACCCUGGUAGUCCACGCCGUAAACGAUGUGCACUAGAUACGGGAGGCUCUGACGCCCUCCGUGUGUAAAGCAAAAGCAUUAAGUGCACCGCCUGGGGAGUACGGUCGCAAGGCUAAAACUCAAAGGAAUUGACGGGGGCUCACACAAGCGGUGGAACAUGUUGCUUAAUUCGAGGCAACGCGAAGAACCUUAUCCUAGACUUGACAUGCUUGGAUUAGCUACUUGAAAGAGUAGUAACACCCGCAAGGGCGGAACUUGCACAGGUGCUGCAUGGCUGUCGUCAGCUCGUGCUGUGAAGUGUCGGGUUAAGUCCCUUAACGAGCGAAACCCCUGUCGCUAGUUGCCAUCAGGUAAUGCUGGGAACUCUAGCGAGACUGCCGGUGUCAAACCGGAGGAAGGUGGGGAUGACGUCAAGUCCUCAUGGCCUUUAUGUCUAGGGCUGCAAACGUGUUACAAUGGCGCGUACAAUGCGAAGCAAUAUCGCGAGAUGGAGCAAACCGCAAAAAACGCGCCCCAGUUCAGAUCGCAGUCUGCAACUCGACUGCGUGAAGUCGGAAUCGCUAGUAAUCGGAGAUCAGCUACGCUCCGGUGAAUAUGUUCCUGAGCCUUUACACACCGCCCGUCAACUCAUGGAAGCCGGAGGCACCCGAAGUCGGUCUGUCUCAAGACUGCCAACGGUGAAUUCGGUGACUGGGAGUAAGUCGUAACAAGGUA